rnacentral:tRNA from 1 species
CAUUAAGGUAGCUAAACGGUAAAGCAGCAACUUAAAAAUUUAUGAAAAGUUGUCGGUACUGGUUCGAUUCCAGUCCUAAAUGU